UACGUAGGGUGCAAGCGUUGUCCGGAAUUAUUGGGCCUAAAGCAUCCGUGGCCGGUUCUGCAAGUCCCCCGUUAAAUCCAGCUGCUCAACAGAUGGGCCGCGGAGGAUACUACAGAGCUAGGAGGCAGGAGAGGCAAGCGGUACUCAGUGGGUAGGGGUAAAAUCCGUUGAUCCAUUGAAGACCACCAGUGGUGAAGGCGGCUUGCCAGAAUGCGCUCGACGGUGAGGGAUGAAAGCUGGGGGAGCAAACCGG
rnacentral:rRNA from 1 species